rnacentral:rRNA from 1 species
CGCUAGCUACAGGCUUAACACAUGCAAGUCGAGGGGCAGCAUGGUCUUAGCUUGCUAAGGCCGAUGGCGACCGGCGCACGGGUGAGUAACACGUAUCCAACCUGCCGUCUACUCUUGGACAGCCUUCUGAAAGGAAGAUUAAUACAAGAUGGCAUCAUGAGUCCGCAUGUUCACAUGAUUAAAGGUAUUCCGGUAGACGAUGGGGAUGCGUUCCAUUAGAUAGUAGGCGGGGUAACGGCCCACCUAGUCUUCGAUGGAUAGGGGUUCUGAGAGGAAGGUCCCCCACAUUGGAACUGAGACACGGUCCGAACUCCUACGGGAGGCAGCAGUGAGGAAUAUUGGUCAAUGGGCGAGAGCCUGAACCAGCCAAGUAGCGUGAAGGAUGACUGCCUUAUGGGUUGUAAACUUCUUUUAUAAAGGAAUAAAGUCGGGUAUGGAUACCCGUUUGCAUGUACUUUAUGAAUAAGGAUCGGCUAACUCCGUGCCAGCAGCCGCGGUAAUACGGAGGAUUCGAGCGUUAUCCGGAUUUAUUGGGUUUAAAGGGAGCGUAGAUGGAUGUUUAAGUCAGUUGUGAAAGUUUGCGGCUCAACCGUAAAAUUGCAGUUGAUACUGGAUAUCUUGAGUGCAGUUGAGGCAGGCGGAAUUCGUGGUGUAGCGGUGAAAUGCUUAGAUAUCACGAAGAACUCCGAUUGCGAAGGCAGCCUGCUAAGCUGCAACUGACAUUGAGGCUCGAAAGUGUGGGUAUCAAACAGGAUUAGAUACCCUGGUAGUCCACACGGUAAACGAUGAAUACUCGCUGUUUGCGAUAUACGGCAAGCGGCCAAGCGAAAGCGUUAAGUAUUCCACCUGGGGAGUACGCCGGCAACGGUGAAACUCAAAGGAAUUGACGGGGGCCCGCACAAGCGGAGGAACAUGUGGUUUAAUUCGAUGAUACGCGAGGAACCUUACCCGGGCUUAAAUUGCAGAUGAAUUACGGUGAAAGCCGUAAGCCGCAAGGCAUCUGUGAAGGUGCUGCAUGGUUGUCGUCAGCUCGUGCCGUGAGGUGUCGGCUUAAGUGCCAUAACGAGCGCAACCCUUGUUGUCAGUUACUAACAGGUUCUGCUGAGGACUCUGACAAGACUGCCAUCGUAAGAUGUGAGGAAGGUGGGGAUGACGUCAAAUCAGCACGGCCCUUACGUCCGGGGCUACACACGUGUUACAAUGGGGGGUACAGAGGGCCGCUACCACGCGAGUGGAUGCCAAUCCCAAAAACCUCUCUCAGUUCGGACUGGAGUCUGCAACCCGACUCCACGAAGCUGGAUUCGCUAGUAAUCGCGCAUCAGCCACGGCGCGGUGAAUACGUUCCCGGGCCUUGUACACACCGCCCGUCAAGCCAUGGGAGCCGGGGGUACCUGAAGUGCGUAACCGCGAGGAGCGCCCUAGGGUAAAACUGGUGACUGGGGCU